rnacentral:rRNA from 1 species
AAACGGUAGCUAAUACCGCAUAACGUCGCAAGACCAAAGUGGGGGACCUUCGGGCCUCAUGCCAUCAGAUGUGCCCAGAUGGGAUUAGCUAGUAGGUGGGGUAACGGCUCACCUAGGCGACGAUCCCUAGCUGGUCUGAGAGGAUGACCAGCCACACUGGAACUGAGACACGGUCCAGACUCCUACGGGAGGCAGCAGUGGGGAAUAUUGCACCAAUUGGCGCGCAAACCCUUGAUGCAACCCAUGCCGCGGUGUGGGAAAGAAGGCCUUUCGGGGUUGUAAAAGCAAUUUUCAGCGGGGGAGGAAGGCGGUGAAGGUUUAAUAACCUUCAUCCGAUUGACGUUACCCGGCAGGAAGAAGCCACCGGCUAAAAUUCCGUGCCCAGCAGCCCGCGGUAAUUACGAGGGGUGCAAAGCGUUAAUCGGAAAUUACUGGGCGUAAAGCGCACGCAGGGCGGUCUGUCAAGUCGGGAUGUGAAAUCCCCCGGGCUCAACCUUGGGAACUGCAUUCGAAACUGGCAGGCUAGAGUCUUGUAGAGGGGGGUAGAAUUCCAGGUGUAGCGGUGAAAUGCGUAGAGAUCUGGAGGAAUACCGGUGGCGAUUGCGGCCCCCUGGACAAAGACUGACGCUCAGGUGCGAAAGCGUGGGGAGCAAACAGGAUUAGAUACCCUGGUAGUCCACGCCGUAAACGAUGUCGAUUUGGAGGUUGUGCCCUUGAGGCGUGGCUUCCGGAGCUAACGCGUUAAAUCGACCGCCUGGGGAGUACGGCCGCAAGGUUAAAACUCAAAUGAAUUGACGGGGGCCCGCACAAGCGGUGGAGCAUGUGGUUUAAUUCGAUGCAACGCGAAGCCUUACCUGGUCUUGACAUCCACAGAACUUUCCAGAAAUGGAUUGGUGCCUUCGGGAACUGUGAAACAAGUGCUGCAUG